AUGCUGCCAUCCGACCCCAUUCCCUCCCCGUUCCCGUUCAUCCCCAUCCCUGCCCCAUCCCCUCCCCAUCCCUGCCCUCAUUCCCAUCCUAUCCCAUCUCCAUCCUCACCCCCAUCUCCAUCCCCAUUCCUGUCCCCAUCCUCAUCUCUAUCCUCACCCACCUCCAUCCCCAUCCCCACCUCCAUCCCAUCCCCAUCCUCAUCUCUAUCCUCACCCACCUCCAUCCCCAUCCCCACCUCCAUCCCAUCCCCAUCCCACUUCCAUCCCAUCCCCAUUCCUGCCCCCAUCCCAUCCCACACUCGUUCCCCCUGCCCUAAUCCUCACCCCCAUCCAUCUUCAUCCCCCUCUGUCCCCAUCCCUGUCACUAUCCUCAUCCCCAUCCCACCCUCAUUUCAUGCCCACUCCAUCUUAUCCUCAUCCCAGAUCCCAUCCUCAUCCCAUUCCAUCCCAUCCCUUUUCCAUUCCCAUCCUUGUCACUAUCCUCAUCCCCAAUCCAUCCUCCUCUCGUUCCUAUUCCCAUCCCAUCCUCAUUGCAUGCCAUUCCAACCUAUCCUCAUCCCAAAUCCCAUCCCCAUCCCAUUCCAUCUCUAUCCCAUUCCUCAUCCCCGUUUCAAUCCUCAUCCCAUCCCAUCCCAUCCCAUCCCCAUCCCACCCUCACUGCGUGCCCAUUCCAUCCCAUCCCCAGCCCAAAUCUCAUCCCAUCCCCUCCCAUCCCAUCCCAUCCCAUCCCAUCCCAUCCCAUCCCAUCCCAUCCAAUUCCAUCCCAUCCCAUCCCAUCCCCAUCCCAUACCCAUUCUCAUUCCCUGUCCCACCCAUCCCAAUUCUCUGUCCCUUCCAUCCCCACCCCAACCCAUCACCACUGCCAUCCCAUCCCACCUCACCCCAUUCCUGCCCUCAUCCCCAUCCCAUACAUCCAAUGCACGCAUCCCACCACCGCCACCACCCUCAGUCCAACGGCGGCAUGACUUUCUCCCAGCCAUGUUACCCUACAGAAAUCCCCUAUAA
rnacentral:lncRNA from 1 species